rnacentral:rRNA from 1 species
GAUGAACGCUGGCGGCGUGCCUAAUACAUGCAAGUCGAGCGAACGGACGAGAAGCUUGCUUCUCUGAUGUUAGCGGCGGACGGGUGAGUAACACGUGGAUAACCUACCUAUAAGACUGGGAUAACUUCGGGAAACCGGAGCUAAUCCCGGAUAAUAUUUUGAACCGCAUGGUUCAAAAGUGAAAGACGGUCUUGCUGUCACUUAUAGAUGGAUCCGCGCUGCAUUAGCUAGUUGGUAAGGUAACGGCUUACCAAGGCAACGAUGCAUAGCCGACCUGAGAGGGUGGUCGCCCACCCGGGAACGGAGACACGGACCAGACGCCUACGGGAGGCAGCAGAAGGGAAUCUUCCGCAAUGGGCGAAAACCUGACGGAGCAACGCCGCGUGAGUUAUGAAGGUCUCCGGAUCGUAAAACUCUGUUAUUAGGGAAGAACAUAUGUGUAAGUAACUGUGCACAUCCUGACGGUACCGAAUCAGAAAGCCACGGCUAACUACGUG